rnacentral:rRNA from 1 species
UACGUAGGUGGCAAGCGUUGUCCGGAUUUAUUGGGUUUAAAGGGCGCGUAGGCGGCCUUCUAAGUCAGACGUGAAAUCCCCCGGCUUAACCUGGGAACUGCGUCUGAUACCGGGAGGCUUGAGUAUGGGAGAGGGAUGUAGAAUUCCAGGUGUAGCGGUGAAAUGCGUAGAUAUCUGGAGGAAUACCGGUGGCGAAGGCGGCAUCCUGGACCAUAACUGACGCUGAGGCGCGAAAGCUAGGGGAGCAAACGGG